GACAGAGGGGGCAAGCGUUGCUCGGAAUUACUGGGCGUAAAGGGCGCGUAGGCGGGAUGGCAAGUCGGUCGUGAAAUCCCUCGGCUCAACCGAGGAACGUCGAUCGAUACUGCUGUUCUUGAGGAUUGCAGAGGAGACUGGAAUUCCCGGUGUAGCGGUGAAAUGUGUAGAGAUCGGGAGGAACACCGGUGGCGAAGGCGGGUCCCUGGGCAAUUCCUGACGCUGAGGCGCGAAAGCGUGGGGAGCAAACGGG
rnacentral:rRNA from 1 species